rnacentral:tRNA from 1 species
CAAAAAAUAGUUUAAAAUUAAAAUAUUAACAUUGGAAGUUGGUGAUUAAGGAAUACUUAUUUUUUGA